UCAAGGAGUAGUUUAUAAAGAAUUCCAGCUUUGGGUGUUGGUGGUGAGGUUUGAAUGUCUCCUCCUUG
rnacentral:tRNA from 1 species